rnacentral:lncRNA from 1 species
AGCCCCGCACCCCCAGCCCCAGCCCCGCGUGCAGCUCGCACCCCUUCCCACGCCUGUUCGGGGGAGAGCCCCGGGCCUGGAGUGGGAAGCCUGGCUCCAGCUCUGGUUACCUGCAGUGACUCCCCAGGCCGUUUAGGCGAGUCCAUUGGGCCGCCUCUGCCUCGGUUUCCCCACCUAACCACGGAAGGUGCUCCUCCCUUCCAGGCAUCUGUGGUCUUCGAGCUCCACGCGGGAGAGGCGCCGGUCUGGCACCUCCUGCCCAGGGUCGGCGCCUCCUGGCUCUCGGGGAGGGGGGCAUCCUCCAUCCCCUGCACCUGCCUCGAGAGGAACCAGGGACAGAGCACCCCCACCCCCACCAGGAGCUCCGGAAAAACGGCUUCAGAAGAGCAAAUAUACACACACACCCACCUCCCGCCCCAAACAUCCCCGAAGAAAGGUAACCACAGAAACAGCCAGAAAUGUGGAGCUGGGCGAUCGUAUGAGGCUGAGACAAAACUGUCUUUCUAGCGUCUCUAGGGGAGAGCUUGAAUCCCUCCUUCCACUCCUCCUCCACGGAAAACAGAGUGAACUCCUGCUACAGAGGCCGCCAGAGCAACAUGCAAGACCAGCUUUGAGGGGAGCGGGCACAGGGCCUUGCAGGGAAGGUGGGCCGAGCCCAGACCCCUCAUUCUUACUUGGCUCUGAAGGCGGAAAGGCAAAGCUAGACCUCGAGGAAGUUCCCCUCCCUGUGGGCCCUACAGUGAAGAUUACAUGAAGGCAUGUGGGCGGUGGACCAGAGUGCACCGACUGAUGAAGGCGGCCCGGUACCCGCGGGUGCCAUGCCUCCUUCUUAGCCAAGGCCACUCUAGCUCCCCGUGAAGUAUCCAGGUAGAAGGCUGGUGGGGUUACAGGUGAGAAGCCGUCGGUGGGGUCCAGGAGCCAGGCCUGGGGAAGCACACGUCACUUCCACCCACAUCCAUGGGCCAGAAGUAGUCGCACAGUCCCACCAGGAUGCAAGGGGCUCUGGCAGCUGUGGUCUUCAUGAGUGUUUCGGAAGUAAACAAAGCCGGUUUGAUGAACACGUAGAAACAUCCCUGCCACAGAAACUGAGCAGAUUUCUCCCAAGCACACACAGGGCAAAGGGGCAAAGUCUGUCCACAGACUCACAGGAAGGGAGGUGCAUGGCAGACACAGGAGUGUAUCUCUCUCAGAUGAGAUACAAGUUGGUCCCUUCCCUUGCGUCCCUCCUGUUCCUUCAAGAGGAGGACUGUCUACCCACCCCGAAGCUUCAUGGAGAGAGAGCACACCGUCGUUAUUCAAUAUGUAGUUUUGAAUUUAACUAGAGCAAAGAAGAAAGCAAAUUCAGGUGGAAGGAAGAAGAAAAGGGAAAAGGGCUGUCCCCAUCCUUCUAAGGAGAUGGUGCAGUGGCUCACCUUUGGGAGGCCGAGGCAGGCAGAUCACUUGAGCUCAGCAGUUUGAGACCAGCCUGGGUAACAUAGUGAAACCCCAUCUCUACAGAAAUUAAAAAAUUAGCCAGACAUGGCGGCGCACACCUGUGGUCCCAGCUACUCAGGAGGCUGCGGCAGAAGUAUGCCUUGAGCCAAAGAGGCAGAGAUUGCAGUGAGCCAAGAUCAUGCUACUGCACUCCAGCCUGGGCAACGAAGCAAGACUGUCUCAGGAAAAAAAAAAAAAAUGAUCAUUUUUCUCUGUCCACUUGGUGGGUCAACUGAAUGGUAUUCCUGUGUCUUCUACUCUCCUCCCACUUGGAAACCCACUGAGAUGCUCUUCCGAAGGCCAGUGCAUGCUGGGCCACACGAGACAGAGCUCAGGCUGGAGGAGCCUCAUACCCGCCCCUCUAGAUGCUUAUAAAAAUACUUCCCACCUUUGAAUCAAGUGGAAAAUGAGGCUCUCCAGUCAAAAGCCGCGACUGUAUAGAAAGCCCUGAGUUGCCCAAUCUGUUCACAUGGCAUCACCAACCUCUGUGUCAUCAUCAAGCUGUCCAGGGGACUCGAUGGCCACCUGGCCAGGAACUGCGGGCUGAUUGGAAGCUGUUGUUCCCAUUGUAUAAUCACACACAUCAUAAAAUAAUCAGUCUUGUCUCUAUUUACAAUUUUGAUGUUUUGUUCAUCACAAAUUUUUAUAUUAAUUUUUAGUUUAACAAACAUUGCACUAAAAUAAUGUUUCUCUUGAUGACCGAGUUUGGGUGCCCUUUCUAUUCUGUGUACAAGAUGAGAGCCUCACUGGCCUCCCCCAAUCCUGGCACUGCCGGAGGCUUUCCUGCGCCCCCUGUGUACUUGUAAGUGC